GGAAUUACUGGGCGUAAAGCGCGCGUAGGCGGUUUGAUAAGUCGGAUGUGAAAUCCCCGGGCUCAACCUGGGAACUGCAUUGGAGACUGGCUGGCUAGAGUGCGGUAGAGGGGGGUGGAAUUCCAAGUGUAGCGGUGAAAUGCGUAGAUAUUGGGAGGAACACCGGUGGCGAAGGCGACUCCCUGGACUGAUACUGACGCUGAGGUGCGAAAGCAUGGGGAGCAAACAGGAUUAAA
rnacentral:rRNA from 1 species